ACGUUGGUGAGGUAUUUGCUCACCAUGGUGUUGACGGGUAACGGGGAAUCAGGGUUCGAUACCGGAGAGGGAGCCUUAGAAACGGCUACCACAUCUAAGGAAGGCAGCAGGCGCGCAAAUUACCCACUCUCAGAAUGUGGAGGUAGUGACCAUAAAUAACAAUACAGGACUCAAAUGAGGCUCUGUAAUUGGAAUGAGUACAAUCUAAAUCCUUUAACGAGUACCAAUUGGGGGGCAAGUCUGGUGCCAGCAGCCGCGGUAAUUCCAGCUCCAAUAGCGUAUAUUAAAUUUGUUGCAGUUAAAAAGCUCGUAGUUGGAUCUCAGGUGAGGUGUGUCGGUGUGUUCAAUGAGCAUCACCGUUCAUGUCUGCCUUUCUCAGUCGUUUGUCCUCUCAUGGUUCUCUUAACUGAGUGCUAUAAGAGGCUCGACACGUUUACCUUGAAAAAAUCAGAGUGCUCAAAGCAGGCCUUUGCGCUUGUAUGUUGUUGCAUGGAAUAAUGGAAUAGGACUUCGGUUCUAUUUUGUUGGUUUUCGGUGCCGAAGUAAUGAACAAUAGAGACAGACGGGGGCAUUUCUAUGGCUGUGAUAGAGGUGAAAUUCUGAGACCGCAGCCAGAGAAACUACUGCGAAAGCAUUUGCCAAGCAUGUCUUCAUUAAUCAAGAACGAAAGUCAGAGGUUCGAAGACGAUCAGAUACCGUCCUAGUUCUGACCUUAAACGAUGCCGUCCGAUAAUCAGGAGAGGUUAUAUUUUAUUAAUCCUCCUGGCUGUCCCUGGGAAACCUUAGAUAGGUUCUGGGGGGAAUAUGGUCGCAAGGUUGGAACUUAAAGGAAUUGACGGAAGGGCACCACCAGGAGUGGAGCCUGCGGCUUAAUUUGACCCAACACGGGGAAACUCACCCGGUCCGGACACUGUGAGGAUUGACAGAUUGAUAGCUCUUUCUUGAUUCAGUGGGUGGUGGUGCAUGGCCGUUCUUAGUUGGUGGAGUGAUUUGUCUGGUUAAUUCCGAUAACGAACGAGACUCUAUCCUGCUAAAUAGUUUGGUGGCAUCGGUCGCUUCGGUGACUAAAGCUGCUAAAACUUCUUAGAGGGAUUCGCGGUAUUUAAACCGCACGAAAGAGAGCAAUAACAGGUCUGUGAUGCCCUUAGAUGUCCGGGCCGCACGCGCGCUACAUUGACAGUAUCAGAAAGUAAUACCACCUAGCUAGAGAUAGUUGGGAAAUCUUUGAAUUACUGUCUCCACAGGGAUUGAGGUUUGUAACUAUCCCUCAUGAACGAGGAAUUCCCAGUAGGCGUAAGUCAUCAGCUUACGUCGAUUACGUCCCUGCCCUUUGUACACACCGCCCGUCGCUACUACCGAUUGAGUGGAUUAGUGAGGCCCUCAGAUUGAGGCUUUGAUGGCGAAAGUCACUAAGGUCUCGAAAAGUGGGUCAAACUUGUUCAUUUAGAGGAAGUAAAAGUCGUAACAAGGUU
rnacentral:rRNA from 1 species